rnacentral:rRNA from 1 species
AUUGAACGCUGGCGGCAUGCCUUACACAUGCAAGUCGAACGGCAGCACGGGGCAACCUGGUGGCGAGUGGCGAACGGGUGAGUAAUGCAUCGGAACGUACCUUUCAGUGGGGGAUAACGUAGCGAAAGUUACGCUAAUACCGCAUAUUCUGUGAGCAGGAAAGCAGGGGAUCGCAAGACCUUGCGCUGAUUGAGCGGCCGAUGUCAGAUUAGCUAGUUGGUGAGGUAAAGGCUCACCAAGGCGACGAUCUGUAGCGGGUCUGAGAGGAUGAUCCGCCACACUGGAACUGGGACACGGUCCAGACUCCUACGGGAGGCAGCAGUGGGGAAUUUUGGACAAUGGGCGAAAGCCUGAUCCAGCCAUGCCGCGUGAGUGAAGAAGGCCUUCGGGUUGUAAAGCUCUUUCGGCUGAAAAGAAAUCGCACAGGCUAAUACCUUGUGUGGAUGACGGUAUCAGCAUAAGAAGCACCGGCUAACUACGUGCCAGCCGCCGCGGUAAGAC